rnacentral:rRNA from 1 species
CCUACGGGCGGCAGCAGUGAGGAAUAUUGGUCAAUGGACGAGAGUCUGAACCAGCCAAGUAGCGUGAAGGAUGACUGCCCUAUGGGUUGUAAACUUCUUUUAUAAGGGAAUAAAACGAGGCACGUGUGCCUUUUUGCAUGUACUUUAUGAAUAAGGAUCGGCUAACUCAGUGCAAGCAGCCGCGGUAAUACGGAGGUUCCGAGCGUUGUCCGGAUUUAUUGGGUUUAAAGGGAGCGUAGAUGGUUUGUUAAGUCAGUGGGGAAAGUUUGCGGCUCAACCGGAAAAGUGCAAUUGAUACUGGCAGUCUUGAGUACAGGAGAGGUAAGCGGAAUUCGUGGUGUAGCGGUGAAAUGCUUAGAUAUCACGAAGAACCCCGAUUGCGAAGGCAGCUUACUAAACUGUGACUGACACUGAUGCUCGAAAGUGUGGGUAUCAAACAGGAUUAGAUACCCCGGUAGUC